UACGAAGGGGGCUAGCGUUGCUCGGAAUCACUGGGCGUAAAGGGUGCGUAGGCGGGUCUUUAAGUCAGGGGUGAAAUCCUGGAGCUCAACUCCAGAACUGCCUUUGAUACUGAGGAUCGUUGAGUACGGGAGAGGUGAGUGGAACUGCGAGUGUAGAGGUGAAAUUCGUAGAUAUUCGCAAGAACACCAGUGGCGAAGGCGGCUCACUGGCCCGUAACUGACGCUGAGGCACGGAAAGCGUGGGGAGCAAACAGG
rnacentral:rRNA from 1 species